rnacentral:tRNA from 1 species
ACGACGUGUGGCAGGACGGCGCGCUGCUCGUCGAUCUCGGCGGCGAGCAGUGGGCCGCGUAUUUCGCCGCGUUCGAGCAGCAGGCGGUGCC